AACAUCAGCAUAAUAGGAUAUUUUAUGUUAUAGGAAUUGGUAAACAUCACGAGUCAUGGCUUGUUGUUUGGUUUUGUUUUUCCAAACAGUCUGUUUCCCCUUAGACCACGUUACCAGUUUCAUUUUGUUCCCUAGAGGCAAGUCUUCCAGAGCAUCUGCAGUUGCAGGCAGCAAGGCUGCCCUCCUUCCUUAGAGGGCAUCAUGUCCCAGAGGGCUUCCUUUGUCUCCCUCCUGCAUUGUUUUCCUUUUGCUGGGUCAAGUGUCUAUUUCUUUUUUAUUUAUUCCAUUUGAGACGAAAAGCUAGACAAAACAAGAUAAAAGGGGCCAGCCAGAUGUCCGAGGCUGGAAACUCCCCUUUCAAACUUUUGGCUUUUGUAACCUUGCUUGCUGCCUGCCUCCACCAAUGGCCCAGAGAGCACCACUGUGGCUGCUCUAUUGAGUUAGUAGCUCCCAGUGCUGCCUUUGACACCCACACCUGCACUGAUGGCAUACUCCAUUCAAGUUGGUGCUUACACGAGGCUACCUUGGAAUUCAGGACUGGAAGAAAAAAUAGCUAACCUGAAAGUAUCAUCAAGAGGACCAAGGGAUGAAUGCCUGUGAAGCUCUUAGAACAUUGCCUGUGUCUGCUUGGUGUCUGAUUGAUGCCAGCUGGCACAUCAUCCAUUCUGUGGAAAUUCCACAGUUGAUUCAUUUCCCACAGAAUUUUCUGUGCUGUGACCCCAGACUCCUUCUGUUUAGCAAGCCUGGCUGCCAGAGACUGUGAAUGAGCCUGCAGUGCAGCAAGUUGGAGACAGUUGAAUUUUCACUCCUGGAUUCCUUCUCACCCUCUAGGACACCCUUGGUACCCCUCUAAGUGUCCUCCAGGUGUCCAGGUGUCCUCCAUGUAUCUACAUGGCUUUGCACUUACCAUAUUUCUAAGAUAGAUCCCUGAGGUGGUGUGGCUGUUGAUGGCUCUCAGGUUCUGCUUGGCUGGGGAUGCAUAGGCAACCUGAUGCACUGGAAAGAGCUGUGGCAGAAAACCCAGAGCCCAUAACUGCCCAGGCCCUGCCAUCAGGAGCCAUGUGACCUCUGAGAACCUCACCUAAAUAAUCCACAUUUGAAUCAGCUCAAUGCUACAGUCCCUUGCAGCUCAAAAGUCUCCAGUUCUAAGGGGUUUGACUUCUUUAUUUUGGCACAGAAGGGAUAGAUAGAAAUAAAAAUAGACAAUAGAUGUCAGCAUCAAAACAGAUGCCCUGUGUCAUCAGAGACUGCAUUAUAGUAAUAUUUUCCUACUAAUGGUUUAGACAAAAGCCUGGAGUGUGUUUUGAGGGUAGGGAGAGAAAGGGGACUGAUAGGUAGGAUGGUGAGAUUGGCUAACAAGAUUAGGUCUUCUAGAAUGCGUGCAGCCCUUGAAGGACUCCAGGGCCCCAAGUAUAAUAAAAACUUCGGAUGUAUGAAUUCCUCCAAGGUUGCUCUGGAUGAGGGCAUAGGAGUACAGACUUGCCAAUAAUAUAGAAAUUGGGAAUUACUGGAGCUUAGAAUGGCUUAAAGUUCUUUUUGUCCAACAUCACAUGUUUAAAGGGCACAAAAAACAGAAAUUAAAGGUUUUUCCAGGAGUGAUAGCUCAUAGUUGUAAAAAUUGCAAUCAGAGACCAGUUGCCCAGACUUUGAUGCCAGGACCAGCUCUGACCUGCACACUAGGGGAUGAGAAUCAGAAUAUCUUCAAAAUUGGAUAUUCCAUGAUUCUCCAAAUAGAAGGGGGGUUGUUUGUUUGUUUUCUGGUUUUUAUAUCAGUAAUGUAAAAUAUCUUAACAAAACUCUAGAGUUCUGGCUCAUGACUUCAAUUGCACAUUGAAAAUCACCUAUGGAACUUUAAAAGCUCAUGACUCUUGGCAACAUUAUAUUCAGAUAUAGUUGGAUAAGGAGGUACAGCUUGGGCACCAUGGUUUUUGAAACACCUCCAGAUGGUCCUAGGUGCAGCUCACAUUGAGGAACUCCCUGCAUAGUGGGUCCUGUGGGCCUGCAGCAUUGCCUAGACUGGGAGCUUGUCAACCAUGCAGAACCUCACACCCUCCCCAGACCUGGUGAGUCAGCACCUGUCUUUCAACAAAGUGAUUAGUUUACAACAUGUAGUUUAAUAAACACAGCUGUAGUCUACAGCAAUCCUGGUGCUUCUCCAGAAAUAGGCAGUGAUGUGGUGACAUUCAAAUCAGAUUCCACAAGUAGAUUUCAGAAUUCCAGGGAGCAGCAACAAUACAGCUAAGGCUCCUCCUUUCUAAACUGUGUGAUGUGGAACCAGCUUCCUUUUUUCCAUAGGGACAGUGAUGGCCCUGAGAUUGGGGCAGUGACAUAUGUAGGUGAUCAGGGCAAGGUCUGGGACAGGUACAAGCUCUGGGAUGUACCCAGCAACCCCCUCCUUUCCCUUAGCCCUUCUUCUGCUUUUGGUUUAGGAUGCAUUUUUGUUAAUUUUUAAACUAUCAUAUUUACUAAAUACCUAUUUCUAAAUAUGCUGCUCAUGUGACUUACCUCUCAAAUCAUUAUCCAGAUAUGAUGAUCCAGUAAAUGACUAUAGCAACAUUGCUUCAUUCUAGUGUGUUUGGAGAGGGACAUAGGUGAAGAUGACAGGGAAAGGAGGGGUCAAGAAUGGCUCUAAGUUUGUGUUUUGUUGUGAUUUUGUUGGUUUAAAAGGCAACUGCUAAUGGAGAAGAGGGUUCUGUGCUGUCAACAAGUCUGGGUACAGAUGUGGAAGGAAGAUGAGGUGCCUCAUUGGGUAGGGCUAGGCCUUGGAUCUCCUUCCAGUGGCUCUGAGGGGGCAAAAGUAAUGACAAAGACUGGGAAGCUGGUGGUUGUCAGGCAGGAAGUGGGUAUGGGGGAUGGCUGAAAUAAAGGGUAAUAAGAGUAUACUUAUUGUGAUGAGCACUGAGUAAUGUAUAGAAUUGUUGAAUCACUAUAUUGUACACCUGAAACUAAUAUAAUACUGUAUGUAAUUAUACUUCAAUAAAAGCAAAUUA